AGCUUCUCGAGAUCAACUGACAGCUCAUCAGAACAGCAUUGAUCUGGAAGGAGGGGUUCUCCAUGGUGGCCAGAUCAGGGUGAUGGUUUCACUCUCUACCUGAGGAAGGAAUGUGUCCUGCCGAGAUUUAUUAAAUUGAUGAAUCUCAUCGAUAAAAAGGAUGAUGUUCCUCUUGAAAAAGCUCUUCUCAUUCUGCGCUUGUUUGAUGAUAUCAUGCAUAUCAGCUGUCUUGGCGCUGGUUUCCGACAAGGUCACAUAUCUUACCCUCUUGCUGUUGAUGAUGAUGUGGGCCAGCGGGGUCUUGCAGCAGCCCGAGGCCCUCACAGGAUAAGCAAGGGCACCUGUUGUCUUCCAGCAGCCAGUGCAGCAUCUAAGGCCCUAUGGCACGGCCCUGCCCCACGAAGUCCUGCAGCGCGUUGGGCUACAGCUGGCACUGCCACCGGCCUGCCCUCCAGCAUCUACCACACCUCCUCUGCCUUGGAUGCCCGUGUAUGCGAGCACUCCCCAGGCCGAAGAUGGUGGCUUCCGCGUCCUCCUCGCCGACCGCGUCCCCGUCACCAGCCGCCUCUUCCUAGGGCGACUCCGCCUCGUCCCAGCUACUCGGGGACUUGCUGCCCGCAGCCGCCUGCUGCCCCGCGCCCUUCCUGCCCAGGCUGCCGAGCCCCGCCACCGGGAAGAGGUGCACGCCGCUGGGAGUGGGAGGCGUGUGGUAGCACUCAUGGCUCUCCGUCUCCCUGACGCCGCCACAGUCCAGCUCCUGAGCGUCUCCCUCGCUGCUCUCGGCAGCCGUCACUGUGGCCGGCUGUUGGAGCGCCGAGCUCUCCAACGGCCAGCGCCGCAGUCAUCGGUCCACGUAAGAGUUGAUGUGCAGGGCGGGCACGGCCCGCUGGCACUGGAGACACCGCAUCCGGGGAACCGAACCGGUGAGACUGAAGGCCACUCACCUCCAUGGCGGCCCACGCCGUGCGUUGCCCCGGAGCUGCGCGACCCUCACUCGGGGAAGCGGCAGGACGCGCGCGGGCCAGGGGGGGCGCAGUCCAUGCCUCACAUCUUCCGCCCUCAGCCGGCGGCCCUGAUGCCUCGCGAGGCGCGGGGCGAAGGGGAAUUUUUGUUAAUACUGAAUCUUUUCACAAUGUUCAUUGCUGAGACCAGCUCAGCAGGAUGGGGCUGAAGAACGGGUGCUGUGGAACUUAAGGAAAAAAAGUUAACAUAAAACAAGACACAGAGACAUUUAUCUUAAGUAAAGGUGGGAACCGGGGGACUCAAGGUCUCAGGGACCAAUAGCCCUGCCUCAAGAAACCACACUGCUUUUAUUGUGCCCUUGAGGAUUAUGUCAAGUGAAAAGGGAGUUGUAGGUGCAGGAUAUAGGUUUUUUUAUUAUUAUUAUUUUAUAAGUUCUUUUAUUAUUUUAAAAGUCACUUAGCUGGUAGAUGGUUAAACUUUUACUCUAAACUUUAGGCAUUUAAGAAUCAUUAGCAUUUGAGUUAGCUAUCUAUGCAUAGCAUUUCAGAGAAUCCUCACUGUUCUUCUGCAAAGGGCAUGCCUAUUUGUGGCAACCCUGUGUGCCUAGGUUUGCACUUUGGUUCUCUUUGCUAAUGCAUGUUCUGCUAACGACCACUCAUAAACCACUUGGCC
rnacentral:lncRNA from 1 species